rnacentral:lncRNA from 10 species
CAUGAUGGGAAAAUGCUGGCGUCAGCAUCGGAAGAUCAUUUUAUUGACAUUGCUGAAGUGGAGACAGUCCAACAGACACACUCGGCCUCCCAGAAAGCAGCUGGCCCCCUGGCCAAGAGGCCAGUUUGCAGCAGCGUGAUCAUUCCACCAUCUUUGCUGCCAUUUGAAUCUUGAAUCAGCUUUGCGUACCUGUAAUAAAUUCCACUUAGCCAUGGCAUGUAGUUUUUUAAAAAUACAUUGUUGAAUUUGA